rnacentral:misc_RNA from 1 species
GAUGAAGAACGUAGCGAAAUGCGAUAAGUAAUGUGAAUUGCAGAAUUCAGUGAAUCAUCGAAUCUUUCAACGCACAUUGCGCCCGCCAGUAUUCUGGCGGGCAUGCCUGUCCGAGCGUCAUUUCAACCCUCGAACCCCUCCGGGGGGUCGGCGUUGGGGAUCGGCCCUGCCUCUUGGCGGUGGCCGUCUCCGAAAUACAGUGGCGGUCUCGCCGCAGCCUCUCCUGCGCAGUAGUUUGCACACUCGCAUCGGGAGCGCGGCGCGUCCACAGCCGUUAAACACCCAACUUCUGAAAUGUUGACCUCGGAUCAGGUAGGAAUACCCGCUGAACUUAAGCAUAUCAAUAAGCGGAGGA